rnacentral:rRNA from 1 species
CUCAAUGAUAUUAAAUAGCCGCAAACAUUUGUGCUAAGGUAGCAUAAUCAUUUGUCUUUUAAUUAAAGACUAGAACGAAAGAUUUAAUAUUUUAAUUUCUUUCUUUAAUAUAAUCCAUUUAAACUAUUUCAAAUAUAAAAAAAUAUUUAUAAAAAAAAAAGACGACAAGACCCUAUUGAACUUAACUUAAGUUCAACUGGGGUAGUUAAUUAAAUAUAAUUUUAAAAAAAAUUAAAAAACCAUCUAAUAAAAUUAAAUCAAUCAAGUUACCAUAGGGAUAACAGCGUAAUAAUUUUUACAAGAUCAUAUUCAAAAAAUAGUUUACGACCUCGAUGUUGAAUUAAUAUCCUAUUAAAUGCAAUAAUUAAUAAGAAAGUC